rnacentral:tRNA from 1 species
ACCUGGCUGGCUCAAUCGGUAAAGCAUGAGACUCUUGAUCUCAGGGUUGUGAGUUCAAGGCCCAUAUUGGGUG